UUACAGAUUAGAAGAGCUUUAGCAGAGGAGGCUGAAAGAGCCUUGGCCUCAGUCAUUCCUGAAAGGAUACCUGAAAGCAUAUUGGAAAUCUGUGUCACAGUCGGAUUCUUUGGCUGACCUUUAGGAAAACUCCUUUAAUAUAUUCUGGUCCCUAGCAACUUGAACUACUAGAAGUGUCUUCCAAGGAGCGAGAAAACAGACAAAUGCAGGUGUGCUUGUGUAUACGCCAGCUGGUCCAUCACCCUUCCUUUCAAACCACUUCAAGAAUCUGCACAUCCCUAAGGAUCUGUGGUCUCCCAGAAAAGAGUUGCAUCGUUGUACCUCUGUGAAGCCCCAGGUUAAUGCCCUGUGCCGCACGUAUCUUUGCGUAUGGAAGGACUUAUGAGAGGUUCUUGCCUACAAAGCCCAUGGGAAUACGGU